rnacentral:rRNA from 1 species
AUUGAACGCUGGCGGCAGGCCUAACACAUGCAAGUCGAGCGGAGCGGCGGACGGGUGAGUAAUGCCUAGGAAUCUGCCUGGUAGUGGGGGAUCACGUCCGGAAACGGGCGCUAAUACCGCAUACUAUCAGAUGAGCCUAGGUCGGAUUAGCUAGUUGGUGGGGUAAAGGCCUCACAAGGCGACGAUCCGUCACUGUGCUGAGCGGAUGAUCAGUCAACCGGGAAAUGAGACAUGGUCCAGACUCCUACGGUAGGGAGCCGUGGGGAAUAUUGGCAAAUGGGCGAAAGACUGACCAGGCCAUGCCGAGUGUGGGAAGAAGGCCUUCGGGUUGGAAAGCACUUUCAGCGGGGAGGCGUUACCCGCAGAAGAAGCACCGGCUAACUCCGUGCCAGCCGCCGCGGUAAUUC